rnacentral:rRNA from 1 species
AGAGUUUGAUCCUGGCUCAGGACGAACGCUGGCGGCGUGCCUAAUACAUGCAAGUAGAACGCUGAAGAGAGGAGCUUGCUCUUCUUGGAUGAGUUGCGAACGGGUGAGUAACGCGUAGGUAACCUGCCUUGUAGCGGGGGAUAACUAUUGGAAACGAUAGCUAAUACCGCAUAACAAUGGAUGACACAUGUCAUUUAUUUGAAAGGGGCAAUUGUUCCACUACAAGAUGGACCUGCGUUGUAUUAGCUAGUAGGUGAGGUAAUGGCUCACCUAGGCGACGAUACAUAGCCGACCUGAGAGGGUGAUCGGCCACACUGGGACUGAGACACGGCCCAGACUCCUACGGGAGGCAGCAGUAGGGAAUCUUCGGCAAUGGGGGCAACCCUGACCGAGCAACGCCGCGUGAGUGAAGAAGGUUUUCGGAUCGUAAAGCUCUGUUGUAAGUCAAGAACGGGUGUGAGAGUGGAAAGUUCACACUGUGACGGUAGCUUACCAGAAAGGGACGGCUAACUACGUGCCAGCAGCCGCGGUAAUACGUAGGUCCCGAGCGUUGUCCGGAUUUAUUGGGCGUAAAGCGAGCGCAGGCGGUUUGAUAAGUCUGAAGUUAAAGGCUGUGGCUCAACCAUAGUUCGCUUUGGAAACUGUCAAACUUGAGUGCAGAAGGGGAGAGUGGAAUUCCAUGUGUAGCGGUGAAAUGCGUAGAUAUAUGGAGGAACACCGGUGGCGAAAGCGGCUCUCUGGUCUGUAACUGACGCUGAGGCUCGAAAGCAUGGGGAGCGAACAGGAUUAGAUACCCUGGUAGUCCACGCCGUAAACGAUGAGUGCUAGGUGUUGGAUCCUUUCCGGGAUUCAGUGCCGCAGCUAACGCAUUAAGCACUCCGCCUGGGGAGUACGACCGCAAGGUUGAAACUCAAAGGAAUUGACGGGGGCCCGCACAAGCGGUGGAGCGUGUGGUUUAAUUCGAAGCAACGCGAAGAACCUUACCAGGUCUUGACAUCCCGAUGCUAUUUCUAGAGAUAGAAAGUUACUUCGGUACAUCGGUGACAGGUGGUGCAUGGUUGUCGUCAGCUCGUGUCGUGAGAUGUUGGGUUAAGUCCCGCAACGAGCGCAACCCCUAUUGUUAGUUGCCAUCAUUCAGUUGGGCACUCUAGCGAGACUGCCGGUAAUAAACCGGAGGAAGGUGGGGAUGACGUCAAAUCAUCAUGCCCCUUAUGACCUGGGCUACACACGUGCUACAAUGGUUGGUACAACGAGUUGCGAGUCGGUGACGGCGAGCUAAUCUCUUAAAGCCAAUCUCAGUUCGGAUUGUAGGCUGCAACUCGCCUACAUGAAGUCGGAAUCGCUAGUAAUCGCGGAUCAGCACGCCGCGGUGAAUACGUUCCCGGGCCUUGUACACACCGCCCGUCACACCACGAGAGUUUGUAACACCCGAAGUCGGUGAGGUAACCUUUUGGAGCCAGCCGCCUAAGGUGGGACAGAUGAUUGGGGUGAAGUCGUAACAAGGUA